AUUGAACGCUGGCGGCAGGCCUAACACAUGCAAGUCGAACGAGUCGCGGACGGGUGAGCAAUGUCUGGGAAACUGCCUGAUGGAGGGGGAUAGGUACUGGAAACUGUAGCUACAACCGCAUACCUUCGGAUGUGCCCGGGUGGGAUUAGCUAGGAGGUGGGGUAACGGCUCACCUGGGCCACGAGCCCUACCUGGUCUGAGAGGAUGACCAGCCACACUGGAACUGAGACACGGUCCAGACUCCUACGGGAGGCAGCAGUGGGGAAUAUUGGACAAUGGGCGAAAGCCUGAUGCAGCCAUGCCGCGUGUGUGAAGAAGGUCUUCGGGUUGUAAAGUACUUUCAGCGGGGAGGCGUUACCAGCAGAAGAAGCACCGGCUAACUCCGUGCCAGCCGCCGCGGUAAUAC
rnacentral:rRNA from 1 species